AAUCCAUAGGUUAAUGAGGCGAACCGGGGGAACUGAAACAUCUAAGUACCCCGAGGAAAAGAAAUCAACCGAGAUUCCCCCAGUAGCGGCGAGCGAACGGGGAGGAGCCCAGAGCCUGAAUCAGCAUGUGUGUUAGUGGAAGCGUCUGGAAAGGCGCGCGAUACAGGGUGACAGCCCCGUACACAAAAGCGCAUGUGUUGUGAGCUCGAUGAGUAGGGCGGGACACGUGGUAUCCUGUCUGAAUAUGGGGGGACCAUCCUCCAAGGCUAAAUACUCCUGACUGACCGAUAGUGAACCAGUACCGUGAGGGAAAGGCGAAAAGAACCCCGGCGAGGGGAGUGAAAAAGAACCUGAAACCGUGUACGUACAAGCAGUGGGAGCACAGGUUUACCUGUGUGACUGCGUACCUUUUGUAUAAUGGGUCAGCGACUUAUAUUCUGUAGCAAGGUUAACCGAAUAGGGGAGCCGGAGGGAAACCGAGUCUUAAUUGGGCGUUAAGUUGCAGGGUAUAGACCCGAAACCCGGUGAUCUAGCCAUGGGCAGGUUGAAGGUUGGGUAACACUAACUGGAGGACCGAACCGACUAAUGUUGAAAAAUUAGCGGAUGACCUGUGGCUGGGGGUGAAAGGCCAAUCAAACCGGGAGAUAGCUGGUUCUCCCCGAAAGCUAUUUAGGUAGCGCCUCGUGAAUUCAUCUCCGGGGGUAGAGCACUGUUUCGGCUAGGGGGCCAUCCCGGCUUACCAACCCGAUGCAAACUGCGAAUACCGGAGAAUGUUAUCACGGGAGACACACGGCGGGUGCUAACGUCCGUCGUGAAGAGGGAAACAACCCAGACCGCCAGCUAAGGUCCCAAAGUCAUGGUUAAGUGGGAAACGAUGUGGGAAGGCCCAGACAGCCAGGAUGUUGGCUUAGAAGCAGCCAUCAUUUAAAGAAAGCGUAAUAGCUCACUGGUCGAGUCGGCCUGCGCGGAAGAUGUAACGGGGCUAAACCAU
rnacentral:rRNA from 1 species